rnacentral:lncRNA from 1 species
UCGCAUACAUGCUGAGUUGUUGAUGUAAUUGCAAGGCCCUACUUAUUAAAAUCAAAUGUUGUGGACCAGGAUUAAUUUUCUUUAACCGAUGGUAAAAACUAUACUCAAGAUCUGAAAAAAUAAAAUAAAAUAAAUACAAUGUAUGUAACAGCUGAAAUUGCGACCUGAGUAAGGAGGUAAAACAAAGUGCAAGGUGCAAAAUCAACACCAAUCUUUUUUUGAAAGAAGGCCACCGGUUUACCCCGGUGAAAUCAACACCAAUGUAAAGCAAGACAAGGUGUUUGGUUCAUCUUAUGUCAUCUUCAUGUAAUGCAUUGCAUCAUGGCCGAUGGUAAAAACUAUACUCAAGAUCUGAAAAAAUAAAAUAAAAUAAAUACAAUGUAUGUAACAGCUGAAAUUGCGACCUGAGUAAGGAGGUAAAACAAAGUGCAAGGUGCAAAAUCAACACCAAUCUUUUUUUGAAAGAAGGCCACCGGUUUACCCCGGUGAAAUCAACACCAAUGUAAAGCAAGACAAGGUGUUUGGUUCAUCUUAUGUCAUCUUCAUGUAAUGCAUUGCAUCAUGUAACCACACAAACAUACUGGAUUUCUACCAGGUUUUCACAAGAGAGUUUAUAGAUAACGAAAAUUAACAUGAAAUUACUGGAGCAACCUUAUACUCCGUAUCUAUCUAGUCAUGAAGAAAACUACCAUGAACCCAAAAACAAAUCAGCGAAUGUCUCGAAAUUUUACUCCUUUUUCACCUGCUCCGCCUCAUCGAGAACGUCAUCAAAUGCUCGAGACGCCGGGGGCGGGGGCGGAGGCGGGGGCGGCGGCGGACGGGGAAUGGGCGGGC